rnacentral:tRNA from 1 species
GGCCGAGCGGUGGACUGGUAGACACGAGGGACUAAAAAUCCAUUUGCUUUACCGGCUGUGUGGGUUCGAGUCCCACUUCGGGUA